UACGAAGGGUGCAAGCGUUACUCGGAAUUACUGGGCGUAAAGGGUGCGUAGGUGGUUGUUUAAGUCUGUUGUGAAAGCCCCGGGCUCAACCUGGGAAUGGCAAUGGAUACUGGACAGCUAGAGUGCGGUAGAGGGUAGUGGAAUUCCCGGUGUAGCAGUGAAAUGCGUAGAGAUCGGGAGGAACACCAGUGGCGAAGGCGGCUACCUGGACCAGCACUGACACUGAAGCACGAAAGCGUGGGGAGCAAACAG
rnacentral:rRNA from 1 species